rnacentral:lncRNA from 1 species
CGGAUGCGUUCCAGGGACCGUGGCUGUCCCGAGGCUCCAGCUCGUCUGGAGGUGCUGCGUGCGGAGACAGAGGCCCUCGGACCGCGCCGCCUGGCGGUCCCUAUUGUGAGGACCUCCGUUUCCGAGUUCUGGUGGUGGACGGUCCAGGUCUGGAAGUCACGCCUUCCAGAGGCUCACGGAAUGAACGGCCACAGUAAAGAGAGCCCAAAUCUCAACCGCAGGGCAGCGGGUGCAUUUCUCACUGCAGCCUGUCUCCGGCUUGGCAGGUGUGUUCAGUUCAACCAUAGCCAGGUUCCUAGGGCGAUGCCAUUUCAUAUCAGGGCUUUUUCCAAAGCAUCGCCGCGAAAACGUCUCCACCAUCGUUCAUUCUUUUCUCAAAUAUGUGUGAACCUCUGGUCCAAACAAGGCCCAAGUUCACAGACCAAAGGCUUAAGCCCUUGGUUAAGUGCUCAGGACGAAGUCAAAGGCGUGGAUGCAGUCAAUGCCAGCAGAUUAGAAGAACCCGCGGCUGCUGACAGCUGGAACACCUGUGCACACCUAGGAAUGCAUAUGCACGGUGCUGGAUUAGGCCAGGGUCGCAGCGCGGAGUGACGCCCAGCACUGAGACGAGAUCUGGUUCUGGACUCCUACUGAAGUUCACAUGCUUCUCAUCUUCUGUCAUGGGUGAAGUAUGUUUUCUUUAUUGUGAGUCUGGUAAUCAGCAAGGGAGCCUUGGGGCAGCUAAUGCUUCUAGCCUGUGCUUUGUGUAAUAUGUCAGGAGCUUCAUGUGGGCAAACUAAUCAGUGACAAUAACCCAAGGAGCUGGGCACGGUGGUGCUAGCCUGUAAUCUCAGCGGCUUGUAGGAGGCCGAGGCUGGGGG